rnacentral:ncRNA from 19 species
GCCUCACUUGGGCGCGCUGGUGCCUGUUUUCGGACAGGUGAAAAGGGAAUGCGAGACGGGGCAGGAUCAACGCUCUGGAACCGCAGCCGCCCCCGCGACCGUGACCGGAGAGGGCUUUCGUUGCCACUGGGAUGUUCCCGGGAAGGCAGGAAGACCAACGAGGCCAGACCUCGACAUCCGCAAGCCGGGAGACCUGCCAGCGAGACAGACAUGAAC